UCCAUAUCGGUAUAAAUUUAUAUAUGCAUAUAACUUGACAAUAUAUAAAUGUAUACGUAUGUGUAUAGACAAAGAGAGGAGAACAGAUAUAGAGAAGUGAUAGAGCUGAAUAGAGCCCGGAGAGAAAAUACAUAGUAUAUAAGAGAACACAUUAAAAGCAGCAUAGUGUUUUUGCAUUUGUCAUGUGUUUGUAUGAUCUUUUUCGUGUAUACCCUGAUGUGAACAUGCUGUACAGUUCUCUAUUAUACAGCUCAGCUCUUCACAACUUAUGGCUUCUGUGAUAUCGCAUAAUAAUACUGGAUUGUUGUAUGUUUUUUAAAGGAGGAGGAGGUUCUCUAGGAGGAGGUGGUGGACCUCUUGCACCUGGACCUUGACCCUGUCCAGGAGCUCGUCUAUUUCCAGGGGGUUGUUGGCCUUGCCCUUGAUUUUGGCCCUGACCAGGAGCUUCGGCAUCAGGGUUCGGUGACAUCGUAGUUGGAUCAUAGUCAAACAAAGCGACAAACCAUCUUGUUCGCUUAUUAAUCUGUUGCGCCCCACCAGGAGCAUGAUGGGGCCCACCAGCACCUCCACUUUGGGCUUGACGUGCUCCGCGGCUACCCGGAUACAUUGGACCUCUUCCUCUUUGGUUCCCCACUGCAUAUGGAAAUACGACCUGCGGUGGAUCUACUGCCUCUGUGAGAGGGUCCCGAAGGCAUUCCAGCAGUAUUAUACCGAUGAUGACCGUGAUGAGGACCCAUAUUCCUAUCUCUUCUGGAUGGAUCUUCCUCCUCACUGUAGUUUGCCUCACUAG